rnacentral:rRNA from 1 species
CUAUGUGUUGUUGGGUAGGGGAGCGUUCUGUAAGCCUGUGAAGGUGGCCUGUGAGGGUUGCUGGAGGUAUCAGAAGUGCGAAUGCUGACAUAAGUAACGAUAAAGCGGGUGAAAAGCCCGCUCGCCGGAAGACCAAGGGUUCCUGUCCAACGUUAAUCGGGGCAGGGUGAGUCGACCCCUAAGGCGAGGCCGAAAGGCGUAGUCGAUGGGAAACAGGUUAAUAUUCCUGUACUUGGUGUUACUGCGAAGGGGGGACGGAGAAGGCUAUGUUGGCCGGGCGACGGUUGUCCCGGUUUAAGCGUGUAGGCUGGUUUUCCAGGCAAAUCCGGAAAACCAAGGCUGAGGCGUGAUGACGAGGCACUACGGUGCUGAAGCGA